UACAGAGGGGGCAAGCGUUGUUCGGAAUUACUGGGCGUAAAGGGCGCGUAGGCGGCCCGCUAAGUCGAACGUGAAAUCCCCAGGCUCAACCUGGGAACUGCGUCCGAUACUGGCAGGCUUGAAUCCGGGAGAGGGAUGUGGAAUUCCAGGUGUAGCGGUGAAAUGCGUAGAUAUCAGGAGGAACACCUGUGGCGAAGGCGGCCCUCUGGACGGAUACUGACGCUGAGACGCGAAAGCGUGGGGAGCAAACAGG
rnacentral:rRNA from 1 species